rnacentral:tRNA from 1 species
GCCUUCGUGGUGUAGUGGUCAGCACACUCGACGCUUAUUCGAGAGGUCCAUGGUUCGAGUCCCGACGAGGGCA